UGUCGAAGUCUUGUCUUCGAUGUGGCCCGAAGAUGUUGGAACUGAAGCUGACAAACAGUUCAACGUCGAGAAACCUGCCGGAGAUUUAGACACAUUGAAAGAAGUGACGAUUGAAGAGAAACUAACCAUUGCGGAUUUGACACGCUUACCAGAACUAUUGAAUUCGACUCCUCAAGGCUCCUCUCAACUAACCAACCUUAUGAAACAAUGGGAGUAUAUGCAACACAACGCGGUUCGGCUAUUAAGAGAAGAGCUUAAGAAUCUCAAUAGACAGAGAGAAGAAGCUGAGGCAAAAGAGUUGAAGAUCAUUGAGGAGUAUAAGUUUGAGAGCAACGAGCCUGAGAAUGUUUCAGUUUUGGAUGAGACGAGUGAUUGGUUCCGCGGGUUUAGGCAGAAGAAACGAGAU
rnacentral:lncRNA from 1 species